rnacentral:rRNA from 1 species
CCUACGGGCGGCUGCAGUAGGGAAUCUUCCACAAUGGGCGAAAGCCUGAUGGAGCAACGCCGCGUGGGUGAAGAAGGUCUUCGGAUCGUAAAACCCUGUUGUUAGAGAAGAGAGUGCGUGAGAGUAACUGUUCACGUUUCGACGUUAUCUAGCCAGAAAGCCACGGCUAACUACGUGCCAGCAGCCGCGGUAAUACGUAGGUGGCAAGCGUUAUCCGGUUUUCGUGGGCGUAAAGGGAACGCAGGCGGCCUUUUAAGUCUGAUGUGAAAGCCUUCGGCUUAACCGGAGUAGUGCAUUGGAAACUGGGAGACGUGAGGGCAGAAGAGGAGAGUGGAACUCCAUGUGUAGCGGUGAAAUGCGUAGAUAUAUGGAAGAACACCAGUGGCGAAAGCGGCUCUCUGGUCGGUAACUGACGCUGAGGUUCGAAAGCGUGGGUAGCAAACAGGAUUAGAUACCCGAGUAGUC